rnacentral:rRNA from 1 species
AUUGAACGCUGGCGGCAGGCCUAACACAUGCAAGUCGAACGAUGGGAGGACGGGUGAGUAAUGUAUGGGAAACUGCCUGAUGGGGGGGGAUAACUACUGGAAACGGUAGCUAAUACCCCAUACCAUCAGAUGUGCCCAGAUGGGAUUAGCUGGUGGGUGGGGUAAAGGCUCACAAAGGCGACGAUCCCUAGCUGGUCUGAGAGGAUGACCAGCCACACUGGAACUGAGACACGGUCCAGACUCCUACGGGAGGCAGCAGUGGGGAAUAUGGCACAAUGGGCGCAAGCCUGAUGCAGCCAUGCCGCGUGUAUGAAGAAGGCCUUCGGGUUGUAAAGUACUUUCAGCGGGGAGGCGUUACCCGCAGAAGAAGCACCGGCUAACUCCGUGCCAGCAGCCGCGGUAAUUC